CCAACAAAGUGGUCUUACCAUGAUCAACAUGACCCAUCAAAGUCACUACUGGUGGUCGAAGAGGACCUGAAUCCUUUUUGGAGUUAAGAGACUUAGGUGAUGGUGCUGAGUAGGCCGCUGCUUCCUGAACAUCAAAUCCAUAUUCCUCAGCUAAAAGACUUGAAUACUCAUAAGUGAUAAGAUACUCAGGAAACACGUCUUUUAUACCGAGACGAUUAAGGUCGCGCAAAAUUCUACGAGUAGGUAUUUGUAGUAAAUUGGCAAAUGAAGCGACUGACAAAACUGCAGGAAGAGUCAAAGGGGUAGAGGAUUUUGGAAACCGAAAACCCUUUGUUGCAUGCAUUGGAGAUGAUGAAUGAAAGAAAUGAGUUUGUAAUCGUAACUGAGGACCAUUAGGAUGAUUGUUUUCCUUCACUGAUAUAUCAGCUAAAGAAAAUCGGCUAGAGAGGGGAGAGAUAUGAUAUGAGAGUUUAUGCACAUUGCGAACGAAAGGGAAUU